CUUGCAGGUUUUGCGGGAAGUUGUGGAGAGAAGCAGCUGAGUGCUGAGAAGAGCCUGAGCAGGUCUGCUGUGGGCCUUUCCCAGGCGUGGCUGAGACUUUCAGGUGCCACGGGCUUCCCCCCGGGCAGGAUGUUGGCGUUUGGAGUUGUUGUGGUGCAGGUGA